rnacentral:lncRNA from 1 species
GGUCAGGGGUGUGCAAGGGGAAGGAGGGAAGACUAGGUGGACCACAAGUGUGAUGGGAAUGAGGCCAAACGUCUACCCUAGUUCUGGAGAGAUGAUCAGGGCUAACUGUACCCCAGGCAUUGGGGAGGAGGAGCAGGAUCCUCUGCCUAGUGUCCCCCUGUGGUCCAGUUUGCUCCUGGAAGCUGAGGAGGUAUUCUCUUGGCUUCCUCAAGGACCGACAUCUGGUGUUUUCUUAUCUUCCUUAGGUCCCAGGUCCCAGUAUGGUCUUGUCUUCUUGGGACCUGAGGGCCCUAAUGAUCUCUCUCAGUGCUCAGGACCCUGUGUCCUCUUUCUUGAUAUUUCCUGGCAGGUCUCAGCAGCCCUCUGCCUCCCUCUGGUGGUCGUGUACACUGCCUGCUAAACUUGUUCCACGGGUUGUUGGUUUUUUUGGUCACUGUGGAGGAUCCAACCUCAGGCUACACAUUGUUUAAUUGUUGCUGUUAGUGUGUUGAUUUUGGCAUAGGAGUAUUUACUCAGAGACUGUGCAGAUAUCUUAUAGUCUAAUAAUAUUUCAUUGGAUUUUUCGUGUCUAUUAUAGAUACAACACCAUCCCCAAUUAAUAAGUAAUUUGAUAUCUUCUUUUUCCAUAUUUCAACUUUAAAAAAUUAACAUUGUAUAGUCCUAGCUAGUAUGACAGAGCUAUGUUAAGUAGUCAUGUUUACUAAUAGUCUUGUUUUGUUCUGGAUUUGAAUAGGAUACGUCUAGCCCUUCAUAAUCACAAGGAAGCAAACCCCCUUGGAAAUUCUUUUUUUUCUUUCUUUUUUUUUUUCUUGAGACAGGGUCUUGCUCUGUCACCCCGACUGGAAUGCAUUGGUGCGAUCACAGCUUACUGCAGCCUCCACCUCCUGGGCCCAAGUGAUCCGCCCACCUUAGCCUCUCAAAUAGCUGGGACAGGUGCACACCACCACACCUGGCUUUUUUUUUUUUGGAGACAGAGUCUUGCUCUGUCGCCCAGGCUGGAGUGAGGUGGCACAAUCUCGGCUCACUGCAACCUCUGCUUCCUGGGUUCAAGCGAUUUUCCUGCCUCAGCUGCCCAAGUAGCUUGGACUACAGGUGUGUGCCACCAUGCCUGGCUAAUUUUUGUAUUUGUAGUAGAGACGGGGUUUCUCCAUGUUAGCCAGCCUGGUCUCGAACUCCUGACCUCAGGCAGUCUGCCCACCUCAGCCUCCCAAAGUGCUGAGAUUAUAGGCAUGAGCCACCCCGCCUGGCCUCUUUUGUACUUUUUUGUAGAGACAGAAACCUCACUAUGUUGCCCAGGCAGGUGGAAAUUCUUCUAAUGAUUUCUUUCUAUUUAUGUGGUAUAGGAUAAAACCUGAUUUUUGAUUAAAAGAAUUUGUUUUUGAGACAGGGUCUUGUUCUGUUGCCCAGGCUGGAGAGCAGUGCUGCAGUCAUGGCUUACUGCUGGCCCAACCUCCUGGGCUCAAGUGUUCCUCCCAUCUCAGCUUUCCAAGUAGCUAGGACUGACUACUGGUGUGCAUCACCACACCUGGCUAAUUUUUAAUAAAUAUUUGUGUAGAGAUGAGGUCUCAGUGUGUUGUCAGGGCUGGUCUUGAACUCCUGGACUCAAGCAAUCCUCCCGCCUUGGCCUCCCAAAGUGCUGGGAUUGCAGGCGUGAGCCACCAUGCCUGACCAAAGAUGUUUUGUUUUUUUUUUUUUGUUUUGAGACAGAGUCUCGCUCUUUCGCUCAGGCUGGAGUGCAAUGGCGUGAUUUCGGCUCAACUGCAACCUCUGCCUCCCGGGUUCAAGUGAUUCUCCCUGCCUCAGCCUCCUGAGUAGCCGGGCGUGCCACCAUGCCCGGCUAAUUUUUGUAUUUUUAGUAGAGAUGGGGAUUUGCCAUGUUGGCCAGGCUGGUCUCGAACUCCUGACCUCAGAGGAUCCGCCCACCUCGGCCCCGCAAAGUGCUGGGAUUACAGGCUUGAGCCACUGUGCCCAACCUAAAGAUGGUUUUAUAUAAGCAUAUUAUUGAAGAUUGAUUUAUGAGAGCCAUUUUAAUUCAACUUUUAAUAACUGCAUACUCUUUUCCUGUUUAGCAAAUUAAAUAUGCUGUUUAUUGUAAUUUGUAAAAUAAAAAUGACUUCUGAAGAAAUGUUAACUAUUAAACAUGUAAAAUGUUGAAAAAAUUUAUUCAUCGUUGUUGGAUUUAGACAGUGCCUCGAUUGCUUGUUCAAAACCUUCUGAGCCAGAUGUAUUUUGGAAUUCAUGAUCAUUUGGAUUUUAGUAGGAUGGUAAUGUAUUUACACCAUACAGUGUGUAAAUCCCUAAGAGGUGUGGGGUAGCACCUGCCAUCAAACACAUGAGUAUAUCUGUAGCAAAAUACAAGAAGAUUUACACUAGGUGGAAGAGAGACAAAAUAUAAAUAGCCUUGUUCAUAUAAAUUUUGCAGACUCAUAACAGGGAGAAAUUUUCUGUUAGAAAAUAUCUGGAAUUUUGAAUUACAUAGAAGGCAUUAUGGAUCAUAAGUGAAAAUGUGUGUUGUAGAAAUAGUAGUUAUUUCAUUCAAUUGCAAAGUUUAAUUUUUACUUUUUCUCUCUUAAUAUAGUCUGCA